CUGGUCUGCCCCGGAGCCGUCUCUCUGAUUUUGCGGGGUUUUUUUUUCUCCCUCUCUUCAUAGUUCAUGAGUUCCGCCGCUCCGAAUUUUUUUUUGGUUCUCCUUCGCAUUGUGGGAGUGCUGCGGUGCAGCAUUUCCCUGCUCUCCUGUUUUUUUAGUUUGGUGUUUAAGGCGUUGCGGACGCCUUGACUGUGAAGUGUGGUUCUUGCGCUUCGUGAAUUCCGGUGUUGGGGUGUCGCGUUCAGAGGCUCAAUGAGUCGGGCUGUUGUAGCGGCGCUGGGGUUUGAAGGCUCCGCAAGGAUGGUUGGGCUGCAGCAUUGCGGCGGCCCCUCGGGGUUCUCUUGGAGUUAAUUCUUGUGCGAGGGUCGGAGGGCGUGCAACUACAGCCUAGAUCGAGAGGUCGAGAUACAGGGGAUUCACGCCUCUUGUCACGGAUAGGAUUGCAGCGGCGCCGCAUGAAGAACGUCAUCGUCGGUCUCUGUUUUGCGGCCAUAUGCAAUAAGUCACAUUCUGUUAUUGAUUUAUUUAUUUAUUUAUUUUUUGUGGUUGACUUCGAUCAAGGUCGCAGCAUCAGGCCAGCCGUCGUGUAGCUGUUGGAAGCGGAAUAGAAGAGGAAUUGAGGUCGAGGUCGCUUGUGGCUCCAGCUUUCGGUAGUGAUUGAGAUCGGUGCCUGCAUUACAAAGGUGGAGGUCUUAGAAGAACAUUUGUUGUGCGGCAUUGAUUCGGUGGGUUCAGCGGAGGCUGCAAAUUUACGACGAGGGCGAUUGGUCUUGGUCUAGCCUUGUUCUUUUGUUUUUUUUUUUUAAGGAAAUUCAUUGGUCAAGUUCCGAGCUCCGAGCGCUCCGGAGCUCGUGCCUGGUUUUUUUCAAUUGUUGGAGGCUGCGGUGCAACACUUCCUGGUGGUUUUCUCCCCUUUUUUUUUCGUGUACUGUGGAGAGCUCCGCAAGGAGCGGAGUCUGUGGGUUGGCCUUCUACUAGAUGUAAGCGGUUUCGGCAAGGGUCCGAGGCGGUCUUCUACAUCGAGGUGGCCUUAAUUUUUCCCUAGCUGUUUUUGUCGGAUUGCUGCGGUGCAGCAUCGGGUUCUUCUUACUUUUGUGUGCUGGUCAAAGAUCUCCGACAUUCUCAGUUGUGCCUCCUCGCUGGUGAAUUGUCGUAGCUAGUGUGUAAUACUGUUCCAUUGCAACGGCGGAGGUGGCGUUGGUUGGCUGCGGUGUUGCCUUCGUAGACUAGUAUUGUGGAUGUAAACAACGGAAGGCUCCGCUCAGCAUGAAAGUGAGGAGGAAACACUGGAGGUGAAUCUGGAGAGUUGAACAGCACAAGGACAUCCAAGUGCGAGCCAACGCGACUAGAUCAGUGCGGCCUUAGAGCUAGUCGCAAGAAGCAUUGACUUGGAGCUCCGACCUGUUGCGACAGUAGCUCAAGGAAGUUGGAGUCCGGUGUGGGAGCAACGACAACCUGUGCUCAUCCACGAAGCAUAUUUGUGAAACCUCGAGUGGAAAGUUAAAUUAGAUUUAGAUUCAAUUGUAUUAAGAUGAAAAAUUAUAGAUGAAUAUUGAUUAAAAUUGGAUGAA